rnacentral:tRNA from 1 species
UCCCUGGUGGCUCAGAUGGUAAAGCAUCUGCCUACAAAGCCGGAGACCCAGGUUCAAUCCCUGGAUUGGGAA